CGGGGUGUGGCUCAGCUUGGUAGAGCGCUUGGUUCGGGACCAUGAGGCCGGAGGUUCAAAUCCUCUCACUCCGACCA
rnacentral:tRNA from 1 species